GUGCCAGCAGCCGCGGUAAUACGUAGGGUCCGAGCGUUGUCCGGAUUUAUUGGGCGUAAAGAGCUCGUAGGCGGUUCCGUAAGUCAGAUGUGAAAACUCAGGGCUCAACCCGGAGACGCCAUCUGAUACUGCGGUGACUGGAGUCUGGUAGGGGAACACGGAAUUCCUGGUGUAGCGGUGAAAUGCGCAGAUAUCAGGAGGAACACCGAUGGCGAAGGCAGUGUUCUGGGCCAGUACUGACGCUGAGGAGCGAAAGCGUGGGGAGCAAACAGGAUUAGAUACCCUGGUAGUCC
rnacentral:rRNA from 1 species